CCUACGGGAGGCAGCAGUAGGGAAUUUUUCACAAUGGGCGAAAGCCUGAUGGAGCAACGCCGCGUGCAGGAUGAAGGCCUUCGGGUUGUAAACUGCUUUUAUAAGCGAGAAAUAUGAUGGUAACUUAUGAAUAAGGAUCGGCUAACUACGUGCCAGCAGCCGCGGUCAUACGUAGGAUCCGAGCAUUAUCCGGAGUGACUGGGUGUAAAGAGUUGCGUAGGUGGCAUAAUAAGUAGCUAGGGAAAUCUGGUGGCUCAACCAUUCAGACUAUUAGCUAAACUGUUAAGCUCGAGACCGUUAGGGGUAACUGGAAUGUCUAGUGUAGGAGUGAAAUCCGUAGAUAUUAGAAAGAACACCAAUAGCGUAGGCAGGUUGCUGGGACGGUUCUGACACUAAGGCACGAAAGCGUAGGGAGCAAACGGGAUUAGAUAUCCUUGUAGUC
rnacentral:rRNA from 1 species